rnacentral:rRNA from 1 species
AUGGAAGUGGAAACUCUACAAGAUGCUGAGGAGACUAAGAAUGGAGGGAAUGACUUUGAAGAGAAUGGCAGUUUGGAUCCCGUGGUUUACCAGCUAGUUCGGGUUGAAGGUGAUGGAACGCUUGUUCCUCCUACGGAGGACGAAGUCCUGCAGAUUGAACAGUUUCUUGAUGACAAGGUUGAUCUGCCUUCUAUUGAUGAUGUAGGAAAUGUGGAGGAUUUUUUUACUAAUGACUGCAUGCUUCUGAAGGAGCCUGACUUUGAAGAGGGGUAUUCCGAAUUAGAGACUAAUGGUGAAAUACAUACACAACAGUUUGAUGCUGACCUAGAGGUAGACAGGUUAAAACCGUCGGAUGACUCGCUUGAUAUUCCCUCGAAGUGUACAGUUGUUCAUGAUCACAAACCAGAUACGGAACAAGGCGAUAACAACAUUGUUCACCAGGACAAUGCUUCCACCGAGACUCCAAAAUCAACAGUAUUAAAUGACUCUUGCAGUGCUGAAAAAGAAAAGACCGAUGCUUGUUCAAGAUCUGUAAAUAACUCAUCUACAGGACCAUCUGUCUCUGGAGUUACUAGUUCAGUUCCCGACUUCUCCAUUUUAAGAGGAGAAGUCUGUUUGGAUAAUCUUACAAUUAGAGAACUUCAGGAAGCAUUUAGAGCCACAUUUGGGCGCGAAACUACUGUCAAGGACAAGUUAUGGCUCAAAAGACGGAUUACAAUGGGAUUGACCAAUUCCUGCGAUGUUCAAAGUUCAGGCUGUGUAGUUAAAGAUUAUAAAAUAGUUUGCAAGGAUGCCAAAUACGAGCUACCUACAAUUGGAGGAAUACCUAAGGCUGAGGUUGAGGCUACUUCUUUGGUUAGGUAUCAAGUAUUGGGUCCUGGAAAUGAGAGAGAUACACCAUCUUGCUCUUACUAUCGGAGUGAGGACCAACAGCGAUCCUCCAAUAGGCUAAAAGGAGUAUCAACAGACAACGAUGAAUCAGAAGGAACUUUGCAGGAUGAACAAGGCGCCGCUAAGAGACUUAGAAAACCAACAAAAAGGUACAUUGAGGAGCUCUCAGAUACCGAGACACUUGACUCCACUGGGAAGCUUUCUUCACCAGGAAAAAGGGUUGCACAUGGUGAGGUGUUACUCAGACAACGGGUUACUCCUUUACAAGAAGUUGAUUCAUUGAGUAUAACUUAUCCUACCCGGAAGGAUACUUUUGGAGGAUUUAGUGUACAUGUUCCUUAUGCGUCAAGGAUGAGAAGAGGGCGUCCUCGGAGAAACUUCAUUUCAUUUUUGGAUGAUGAUCCACCUGUGGAAUGUCCUGAGGUUCAGAUGGCAGUUGAGACGAUGUUGGGAAAAGAUGGUGAACAUGUGAAUCAUGCAAGCAGUGCCGUGGAAGUUCCACUAUCGAAAAAUGCUGAGAAGAAAGGAGGGCAUAUAGAAACAGCUGAGAAGAAAGGAGGGCAUAUAGAAACAGCUGAUAACAAGGAGAUUCAUUCCAUAGAGCCAGAGGAUAUUUGCAGAACUGAUGCCAAGACGAAAACAAAGCGGGGUUUGAAGCGGAAGCAUCAUCGAGCAUGGACAUUGUCCGAGGUUCUGAAGCUGGUCGAUGGCGUGGCUCAGUUCGGGCCUGGCAAAUGGUCUGAGAUUAGAAGACUAUCCUUUGCCUCAUAUUCUUACCGCACCUCAGUGGAUCUCAAGGAUAAGUGGCGCAAUCUGCUAAGAGCCAGCCAGACACAGCUUUCGCCGGAAAAUGAUGGUGUUUGUCCGCGGAAAAGCAACCCUUCGAUCAUUCCAAUACCACCGGCCAUUUUGCUACGAGUGAAAGAGCUAGCUGAGCUUCAGCCGCAAGCCGGCAACCUGGCGGCGGCAAUCAAGUUCUCAGGGCAGAGCAGCAAGGCGGCACAGGGGAGAGGUUCAUCGGGGUUCCCGUGA